ensembl:lncRNA
ACAGAAAGUCCAGCAUCUAAGGAUUACAUUGCUUUCUUACUUAAAACCAUAAAGCAGUUAAAGAAUGGCAUCCUUGUUCUUACUGAAGCAAGAGUUUUGAUGUUCAUGAAGGCAGACAAUGUGGAGUAAAUGGUAUCAGACACUGAAGAAGCUAUGACAUCACUGUGUUCCAAACACUUCCACAGUCAUUCUGAUUCUGGCUUCAUCCCUGCAAAUACUGUUUAUGGAGAAAUAGCAUUAGGCUGAAGAGGACACAUGGGACUCCUAAGAUUGGUGUGGAGGGGGUGACACCUCUAACAGAAUGGCUGUAAGGAAUUCAGGUAGCUGCAAGCUGUUGGUGAGCCAGGCUGCCCUGGAGAGCUGCACUACAGCCUCCUGUGACCUUUGGGUGAAUUUACAAGGCUGCUUCAGCUCACCUAUCAGCAUACUGUUGCACAGUGGAGCAAUCUUGCUGUUUCUCCACGUUUGCUUUUUUUUCCCAACCAUGUGCUCUUUGUGCUGGACUGUGGUGCUUAUUGGCCUCAGCUUGAAACAAAGGCUGAUGAGUGAGGAGUAGCAAUAUUUCCAGCAUGAAGGACUUAUGGCAGCUACAUGGAAUAUCCUUCAUUCUAUUAGCUGGCCUACUGUGACAGUAAGAAUUUUCAUACUGAUGAAAUAUGACCUUCUACCGACCAUCAGUUCUGGAUAUGGAGACAAUUUGGAAUGGAGAUACCAUUUACUCACGGUUUCCUCUGGAAGGAGCAGCAGAUGAAUGGGAACAUGGUGCACAGCCCGCUCUUAUUCUGACAGAUACUUCAGGAAUAGUCGUCGUACAAUUUUGUUCCUGAAUACCCUUCACUUGUUUUUGCCCCAACUGCUUCUGCCACAUCUUUAUCAACUUGCUUCCUCAGACUGCCAUUUUCUCUUUCAGAACAGCUGAAACAACAGUGGCAGAAGUGGUAGUGUCUGCAUGGAUCACCUUUGGCAAAAUGGCCUCAGUAACAACAGCUGGUAAGAUAAAAGCGAGAAUAUAAACAGCGAAUGGGAAUGGAGAACCCAAAGCUGGAUCAAAAUACAAUUGUCCCAAAUGGCUGUUUAAGAGAGGAAGACAAGAAUCAGCUAGAUUCAUAACCAGGUAAUUACAAAGAGACUUUGAAAGGAAGGAAUCAGCUCAAAAAGAAACGUGAAGUAAUUAAAAAUCUGAGAUAUUGGUAACAAAGAUCAUGGAAUGAAAGCAGGGGAUCAGCAAUGACCUGGCUUGGUGCUGCCCCAAGUAACUGCACCGGGAUCAUGACCUCUGCCAAUGCCUGACAGAGCAUCCUCUCCUUCAGGCACUGUGAGCAGCCUACCUGCCAGCUAGUGGAGUGCUGGUAUAAAAGGUAACACUCAGGGACAAACAUUUUGGGAAUGCUUAUGCGACGUCACGAGGUGCUUUCUCACCAACGUGUGCCUUAGCAGACUGUAGCAAGCAACACAGGUACUAAGGGCUAGAGAACCCAGGAGAUAAGGAUGUGAACACAUGCUCCCAAAAAUGUUAUGUGCCUGUAACCCACACUUCCUUCCAGCGUGUGUAUGUGUGUGUGAUCAUGUGUACGUGGAUGGGAGCGGGAAGGUAGGGGCUAGAGCUUUUUGAAACAAGUUUUGGAAGGGUGGAAGCGUGUAACCAACAUCUUUGAAAUGUGUAGUACUCUGAAAUAUGUUGUAUUAUCAAUAUGAUCUUGAAUACAGGGUUCAUUGGUUGCUGGCCGGUUCUGUUCCAAGAAUAAAUCAAUAAACAGCUUUGAUCCACAUUCAGGACAGUCUAUGUGAAUGGAGCAAGCCUGGCUGAGAAAGUGGCGCUCAUAUCCUGUGAGCUCCAGGAAAGAAAUUCUGAGGCUGGGAUUUGGGUAACAGGUUAGAGACACUGGGCUCAGCAGGGUGGCCCAUCUGAGCGUACCAUUGCAAUGCUGUAGUUACAUGCUUUGUCAGAUGAGAGGGAGUUCAAGUUCUUCUGCCAAAGUUCUAUGUGAUCUCUUGGAGUUUCUUUGAAGAGGAUGGCUAAGGAGAGGAAAGGAUUCCACCAGCAUCACUGUGUGAAGCUUCUGGCUUCUCACAAUGGUUUAUUUGGUUAAUCCAAAGUCCUGAAACCACCCUCUCCAAAUCAGAGCUUGCCACCCUCCACGCUAUUGUGCUUUCCAGCUGUGUGACAACAAGCAGGAACUUCACGCACUGGGAACUGCUGGGGUUUAUAAGUUUGUUUCACUGCUAAUUGGGUUGUUUCCCCUUUUGUUUUAUCUUCUGUCCAUGUGUGGGGGCACCAGAUACGCAAGAUAUUACACAUGCUUGUUUUGUUUCAUCUCUGGGAGGGACUUGUGAAAGAAAACUGACUAUAGCAGAAGAGACAGGCACCAUUGCCUUAUGACUACAUUACAGCUAUUAUCUCUGGGCUGCAGGAACAUUCGUGUCACUAGAAAGCAUGCAGGCUGAAGCUGUGCCUCUUGAUGAAUUCCUAAAACGUUCAAGUUGAAUUUCAAUCCAUUGUUGUGUUUUUCUCCUUGUGUAUAACUUCUGUCUCACCAUUUUGAUUUGGCACAGGGCUGGGAGAACAACUCGGUUUUGGUUGGUCUGACAAAUAAAGUGAAUUGUUUCGUUUUUUUCUUUAAUUUCACAAGUAAAUAAUAGAAACGUUUU